CCGGAUUUUUUUUUUUUUUGAUAUGUGAUUGCUGAAGCAUUUUCGCAGGACGACAGUAAUGACUGCUGAACACCCUUCAGAUGGGAUUCACAUAGCAGAGUAAGGAUUUCCAUUUCUGAAAUACGGGUGUGAAUGUGAUUGAAGGACUUACAUGGAGAAUUCUGACCUUAGUUCCUUCCUGCUCCAGGAAGGAUAGGUGGUCCUUUAUUUUGCUAUGAGAUUCAGACUGAUCACUUUGCCAGCUGUCAAGGCAAAUGUUGCUGUGUAGACCUUAGUCUCAACGACACUUAGUUUCCUGGUGAUGGGUGUCUUCAAAGGACUGGACAGAACAAACUUCCUACUGCAUCUGCAUUUUAGGUUCUCUGCUCUGCAUAAAGCUGCGCUAUUUGGAAGAAGCGAGACUGUCUUUCCUUACAGCUACGAUGCUGCACCGCUCUCAACGUAGCCUGCUUUUCCCCCCAUUUACCUGGGCGGCUGCUGCUGUUUCUGCUGCUGCUGGGGCUGCUGCAGUCUCACUGCCUGCGCUUCACCCAGGCUUAUCUGACUCGAGACGCACUCGUCUGCAUAUUGCUAAGGAAGAAGAGCGAUGGAGCUGCGUUUUUUUCUGUUGGUUCUGGAAGCAAAGGGUUGUGAUAUGUGGUGCUUUGGAGGGUUUUUUUUUUGGGGGGGGGAGGAGAAGGGAGGUUAAUCUAGGAUGGGGUGGGUGAAAGCUUAAAGAAAUAUUAUGUAAAAUAAUCCAGUGCUCAACAAGGGUAUCAGCAGCAAGAAUCCAGCCUCUGCUGCUCCAAAGGAUUAACAUGGGAAAGCCACCGUGCUGCAGUCGGGUUUCACCUCAGCGUUGUGCUGGAGAUGGAUAAAUAAGUUGGAUGUGCGCUGGUCAGAAUUUAUAUACUUCUAACAAAUAACACUGCUGGUGUCGGUUUUUGAUCAUUUAAGCUAAAGACAUUCAGAAGUUCUCCAUGGAUAGCUGUUAAUCUUGAUCCUUCAAUCCUAUUUUUGAGAUGGACCACUACCCAUUCCCCAUACAUUCUGGAGGUUGUAUGUCAGAGCAUAUUAAUUAGGCAGAACUGUGUAAGCCGUUUGCUGCAAAACCACCAGGGCCAGUUAAUCAUCUAGACAUUACAUGAAAGUUCAUAAGUUGAAAAGAACGCUCUCAAUCAUCAGAGCUCAGUGAAAGACAGGUUUGAAAAGUACAAAUGGAAAUUAUAUUUCAUGAAACCCAGAACUGAAACAUUCCCUGUAAAAGUAACAGAAAAUACUACAAUUAAUAAUUUAACUGAAAAGGCUCAGAGGUGUGUAUUUGCAUGUGUAUACAUCUCUCUUUCUCUGCAUUUCCUAGAUGUUGGUGUCGGAGUGUAGACCUGAACAAAUCUGACUGCUAGAGAGAGCUCCCCUGAGUUUAUUGAGGCACUGCAUGGCCACAAAUGUUAAACAGCACAGCUAAGGCAGCAUCAACCUUAGCUUUGGUUCUGCAGGGAUCACAAAAGAAUUCCGUUUCCAUGCGAAAUGUGGAGGUAGAAGAGCUGCAUCUGUUUGGGUAUCAGCGAGGCUAUAAAAUCCAGGACAUAAUGCAAUGCAAGUGGUGGGAUGAAAAGACACUUGCAGAGGUAACAUCCACAGGGAGAAAGUGAGGGAUUCAGACAGAAAUAUGAAGAACUACGGGAAAUGCAUACGGCUCUAAAAAAGCAUCCAGCUGAACAUUCAGAAGAAUGCAUUUUUCUACUUAUCCAAUAUAAGCAGCAGAGGCUAUUUUGAAAAGUUGGAAAGCUUGAUCAGUUAUUCCUGGUUACCUUAAUAUAAUUCAUGAUACAUGGCUUAACUGAGGCUGUGAUGGAAACAGAGCUUGUGUCACAAAGACAAUAUUUAAUGACUCAAAUCUGAUUAAAAGGUACUGCAUUGGAGCAAUGAAAAUAAACCACUAAAACAAUCAGUUAAAAAAAAGAAAGAAUGAAUAGUGUUAAAGAGCUGAGGAUUUCAGGGUUCAUUAUUUGACCUUAGGGUCAAAUUCCAAGUGCAGUCAAUCAUUCAGCUACCCCUCUCAUGGAAAGUUCAUUGCAGAAAAAGAAGAAAAAAAAAUAGGAUCAGAAAAAGAAAUGAAUUCCUAGCAGAAGCCACAAAACUGUGCAAAUUUUUUUCUCAGAGAUUCUGAGACUGAUCUUUUGUACUUGAGCUUAAUUUGCUUUAAUUUAUAAAAGAUAUUUAAAGUUUCUUUUCUAAGCUUAUCCUUGUACUUCCUGUAUAAAAUUCAGGUUGAAUAUUCUCUCCUGACCUGAGUAAUUUCAUUUCCCUUUACCCAUCUCCAUUCAUAGAACAAGUGGCAUUGAUUAGACUGACAGAGCAUCACUGCUUGUGCAACAACACCCACUCCUUGUAUCCAAAAAACUCCAAAUACCAUGCCCUUCCUUGUGAAGUCUGAAGCCAUUGCAUUGUAUCACCUGUGCUUUGGAGCCAUUCUCCCUUUUUUAGAGUUGCACCACUUUCUAAAAGCAAGUAAGUUCUGUGAAGAGUUUCAGGUAAAGUUUUUCUGCAGUUCAGCACUUUGACCUGUUUUGGUGAAAUUCAAGGAUGAUUCUUCAGUCAAAGUUCUGUUUUUGGAGGGAGAAAAGGUGACGAUUCCACUUAGAGAAAAAUACACUAUGAGGCAGACUUACUUCAUGGCAAAGCGGCUGCAACAGAAAAUGUGCCUGUUAGCAGAAAUUAACAUAAGCAAAUUAUUUCAAAACUCUAUGGUCGCUUUAGCUUUUGUAGAUAAGACUUAGCUUUUCUAAUGUUACUGGAUUUGACACAGAAAUGAGGUGAGCUGUUUUUUUGUCAGGUAAGUACACUCACUGUUUGAAGAUUCUUGUCAGUAAUAAAACGUGAUGAUGAAAUAUGAUCUUAAACACAUAGUGAAGGAAAGUUGGUGUUUUUGUGGCAAAGAUAUUACAGGUAUUAUUAGAAUACUAUAGCAGAAUUUGUACGAUUUGUAAUACUGAGACAAAUUCCUUUCUGACUGUCCUCUUGCAUCAUUUUUGUUGCUUUUGCAUCUCAUUCCUCACACCUGAUUGCUAUCGUGCAGACAGUCCUCCCUUUCUUCUUCAGCUUUCUCCUUUAACUCUUAUGGACACAACGUAACUCCCUGCUUAGCAAACGUUUUUGUGACACUUCCAGCCAAGACUGGCUAAAACAAGCAAAAGGAAGUCACUAUCACACUACAAAUUGUGAAACUCACUGCAACUGGAGGUUCUGGAAGAUAAAAGUUUAAGUGCCCUUAAAGUGAUAUUAUUCAUGUUUGUGCAGAACAGGUCCACAGUGACUAUUAAAUGUGAUGGCUACAUUUGAGCUCCUCUCCAGAAAGUCAGUCAGCUCCUCCCAAUAGCUGACCUGGGGAAAAGAAAGCUGCCCAUCUCUAAUGGUCUUUUCCUGAACUUCUCCUACUGGCCCCAUCGUUAGAAACGCAGCAAUGGACCACGUGGUUCUUUAGUGUGAACCGAUACUGCAGUUCCUGUGUAAAACAUUCUUUGUCCCUUCAAGAUAGGGUUUUCAUUUGCUUUAAUACAUAUCUGGGCUGUAUUACUGGUGUCCAAUUUUGACUGAAAAUUCUGUAGGGUAGAGGUAAUGCCUUUUAAUGACUGCCCUGUACAUAAAGCAGAAGGCAUAAAUAAUCACAGAACUAAAUACAAGAAAGAGAUCAAUUCUUUCCUCGCAAAAGUGAGGAGCAGGAUGCAUUCUCAGCUAUAGAUUUCUUUGUUUUGGAUUAAUAUCUAUGAUUGUCUAUGAUAAAUUCCUUCACAGGGACUUCUGACUUCUCUCGCUGCAGACUAUAGCAAAACAACCCUCCAUUUCAGUCUGAGAUUCCUUUCUUAUGCAGUUGACUUUUCCAAAUCUAACGCUUAAUUCUUCGAUGGGAAGUGGUUUCUGCAGAUUUGAUAAUAUCAGAUAGAAAUGGAGUUUUAAUUCUGAAAAUCUGCUUUGAAGGGGUUGUUGGCUCUUACAUAUGCUUAGACUGAUAGCUGCAGGACAGCGUUUCAAGAAUGAGGAGCAAAGGACCAUCUUUCAUAACUGCAGCCCAGGAAAUUCUUUCUUUUUUAAUGUGUUCCAUUGACAAGGGAAUGUUUUACCACUGGAGAAUAAAAAUGGAAUGGUGAAACUUUGUUUAGAUGGAAUACUUUUUAAUAAACAAAUCUAGUGAUCAUUUAUCUAAACAUUAGUUGGUAAAUGUUUGCAGAGUUCUUAGCAUAUGUAUGUGUUUCCGUAUGACCACUUGUGGAUGCUAUCUUAGGGAUUGGCAGGUAAUACUGCAGAGUGAAUGGAACCUUUUGAACUCAUCAGCAUGACAUCAGCAAGUAAAAUCUUUGCGAUGCUGUGUCGUAAGAAUGUUUUCAUUGUAGUUGUUGAGACUCGGUGUACAAGACUAGCUUUGGCUUUAGGUAGAGGAGAAUAACCACUUGGCAAACAAUACAGUAGACAAUUGAUGUCACACAUACAGAGGAUGGCAACCAUGCAGGAAAACAAUUAACUCUCGUGCUGAAAUUAGCCUUCAAACAGGCUAAUAAUGCCAGGAGGUGUUUUGGAGAUGGGUGCUACCAGUGUUAAUAUACUACAUUCAGCUGUUUCCAGCACACAGGGGCAACAUCUGAUUCUUAACCAUAAGCGUUGCAGAGAUUGCUUCCGUCACUGUGUGCUUGAGCAGCUACCUUGCCGGCAUAAUGCAGUGUAACACAGGGUCAGGAAUUGCUGACAAGGUGCCAGAGUUGCCUUGAAAGGAAGCACAUUUGUCUCUGCUUGUUGUAGCACAGCAACUUGUAACAUGCCAAACUGCCACUCUUUUGUAACUGAGCAGCAUCAUCAAAUGUGGUGAGCCAAUUUUUUUCUUAGAGAUCUUUGGAGUAACAGCUACAAAUCCUGUUCUCAUACAGCCUGGGUACACAAAGCACGUUAAGAACAAAUAUAUCUGUGCAGUAGCACUUGCCCAAGAUCGGCUUCUUUUUUUUGACCUAAAAGUCAUUUGCAGAAUUUGGGCCUGGAUUAUGUGAAAUAAUAGAACUGCAACUAAUAUGAUAUUUUUUAAAGGCUGAUGCAAAUUAUACCCUUUUGCAAGAGCCUGAUGGUAACACGAAAACAAAACAAAAGAAAUGAGGCAGACCAGUGAGAGGAACCACACAUAAAUCUAAGAUGCUAGGGAGACAAGACUAGCUUCCAUUAUGAAUAAUUCUGCUUCUCUUAAUUUAUUUCCUGUCUUCCUCCCCCGAUGUUUAUGGUAUUCUCUAGGGCAUCCUAUUAGUGGUUUAGAUCAAUAGUGGACUUCUCAAGAUGUUUGUUUAUUUGUUCUUCAUCCAGUUUUACAUGCAGAACAGUUGUGAGGGUGUGGACACUAAAAAGAACCAAACAGCAAUGCUAAUUUCAGUGUUUCCUCAUUUCUAAACCAAACACUAUUUUGCAUGAAUUUGCAUUCUUUAUAUUCAAGCUUUCUUUGCAGGCACAAUGACAUACUAUUUAAAUGUAUUUUAAGUGAUUGUGAUUUGGCUGAAAGUAUUGUCCUAAUGAGUUCUGGAGAUAAAGAGGAGAGCUAAAUGAUGGUGCCUUGUUUUUGAAAAGUCUGUUGAAUUUACUUCUGACUUUGUAAAUGAAACAAUAUCUGAUGAAGGCUUCACAAGCUUUAGAAAAGCUGUUUACGGCUCUGUAUAUAGCUAGAAGAAUUACUGAUAGGGUUUUGGACAAGACUGUAGGUCAUAACACCACUGUUUCAAAGGCCACAUUUGAUUUUUGCUGCUCAUAUUAAUUUUGAAAAAGGAUGCUGAUAAGAAUAGUAAUCGUACAAGAGUCAUGAAGUAAUACAAUCUCAUCACUUCAGAAUGCCAUAGAAAAUCAAUUCCUGUCUUUUUCUUCUCUAAAUAUCUCUUGGUUUCCUGGUAACUCUUAGACUCAUUUUUUUAAUCAGUUCACAACAUGCAGAGCUGAAUAUGGGUAGGGGUCUAGAAAAUUUCCCCUUCCCCACAGGCAUUUUCACAGUGCAGCUGUUGAUCAUGUGAACAUAUUCAUGUUUCCUUCACAGCUGACACCCUGCAAAUGUCUGGCGUGACUGGAGAUGGUAAACAUGUGUUCAGCGCAAAAGGAGCUUUCUUCUUAUAGGGACUGCAUGUCAAUUUUGUAAGAGGCUAGGGAGUUAGAGGUAAAAAACAAAGCUUUCCUCAACUGCAUUAAGAAGAGAAUUCAGACAAUUGAUGAAUAUCAAGAAAGUGUAUCAUACUAGGCUAUGAAUCUAGGAAUCCAGACUUCAGAAAAACAAAUAAUUUUCUUUUUUUAAUAUUAUUUUUUUCCUAAGAAAAUAGGAUUUGUGUUUUUAUCUUGUCUCACCUCACUUUUUUAUAAGAUAUUUUCCUUAACUGCCUGCUUAAAAGUCUCUUUUGUUGUGAUAUUUAUUAAAAUUUUGACAGCUGUCAGACUUGGGUGUGCUGAGGACAUGGCCUGUCACACUGACCAAUUGUGUCACUGCUUCCUUGUACUAUUCCAUCAGUCUGUCUUUUUUUGUUUAUCAUUUUUUGGCCCAUUUUUAUACUGUAAGCCUCUCUGAGAUAGGUAACAUUGCUUUUGCAAAGUGUUUUGUACAGCACCUAACAUAAUUGUUUCUGAUUUAUGUCAUACACUUGUGCUUUAUUCAGUUUCACUGUUCAGUUUAUUCAAUUCCCUUUGGUAGCUGAUAAACUCACAUCAGUGAAAAAAGAUCACCCCCCCUCCCCAUUACUCCAAAUACAGCAAAUCUCAUAUAAGUGCAAUUAUAAUUUUGACAAGAGUCUGAAAUGUAUAAAGAAGAAUCUCCAAGGCAUUAACUUCUGUCAGUGCUUGCUUCCUCAGUAAAGCAGAGCUCAUGCCUUUAUGCAAGGAUUGAAUAAUCCAGUCAACUAAUUAACUAUACCUUCUGUCAUUUUUUUUUCAACCCUUUCAUUUGGAAGUGCAUGAAUGUUUCUCUCUACAACCUAGUGAACCUUCUGUAAGACAGUGAACUGUCAUUUGAGCUAAUCUAACCAUAUUCUUUUCUCUAUCUAAGGAAAUAAUAAGGCUACGAGGACACAUUUAUUGUAUAUGAAAUUAUUCAGGUCUUUUGUGUUCAGUGAAGCUCAUUUAAACAAAAAUCUGAUAAAGGAAUAAAUAUGUAAUCAUGAAUAAAAUAAUGCAUACUGGGUGUAGAUGACAUAUCUAAUUUUAACGUUAACAGACUUAGUACCAGAAGAUAGACAUUUAUGCUUGUGUUGUCUACAUUGCAUAAAUCACCUGAUUAAGUAUGUUAGGCUUAUACACUAGGAAAGUGCACAGCUGUGUUAAAGGUUAACCCUUAGAGUACCUACUGUCCCCACAACCUUUUUUUCUGGUAGUGUAUGCUGCAUAACUUCCUGAACUACUGAUCUCAAUUUUUUUCAACAGGAGGUGAUCCAGUCUGCAGUUGCCUUCGGUUUGCCCACUACUGUGCUGAAGGCCAUACGUCUUCACAUUGGUCUUCUGCAGCUACUCCAGGCAGUGGGGCCAACUGUCAGCUUUGUGAUCCCACUGUCUGCCUCCUUGAAUCCUGAGGAUUUGUCGUCUUUGUGGAUGAAUUGUAGUGGUCGUGGGAAGCAGCUGCCUUCAUGGUUCCAUCUUUCUUCUGUGGAAAUCAUAUGGGGCAUAUGUUUACACAUCACAUCUUGUUUGGAACAGCACAUUCAGCUCCAAGAAAUAAUAAGUACGUGAGUACAUUUACUCCAUCGGAUGCCUUAUGCUAAGGUGAGGCACAUAUUUAAGUGCUUUCCUAGACCGAGACACUAGGGAACAGAAGGAAGGAAGACGAGAUGAUCUCUAGGAUGUUUUAAGGUGGGUAUGCAUUGUAUCUAUUUGUAUCAGGUCUCUUUGGAUCAAUGGAGAUCUGUAAAGAUGAGUCCGACUGUGAGGGAAGGACAGCAGGCUCUGUCUAUCAUAGCUGGCAUAACAAGGAUUCAGCAAGAAGACACCAUGAAACAGUUUAGACAGACUGCAGUUAGAUGCUCUAAAAACUGAACAGGUCUAAAAGCUGUUAAGAGGUGGGUCUUCAGUUCCAGAAUUUCUAUGUCUUCUUGCUGUGGGUGCUAUGGUGAGGACUCUCUACUCUCUAGAAGAAUUUGGAGGAAUCUCAGUGCGUAGUGCUUCUCUCUACAUGCUCUCUACUUGUAAAAAGGACAUGAAACCUUCAAAUGAAAUACGUAAAUGAAUGUAAAUCAGCAUGGUCACUGCAAAGACAUUCCUACAACAGAUACAUUUACCAUUUGAUUUACUGGUUAGGAAACUUCACAAAUAUCUAUCAACAAUGGUAUAGACAGAUUUAGAGUCAAGAGUUGAAUUCUCUCACUUUGCACCUUGAGUGUAUAUUGAUUAAAAUUUAUUUCAGUCUAACAGACCCCUGAAGGGACCUACCAUCAAGGCCUGUGGUUCUCAGGACUUGAUCUGCACAUCACCUGAAUUUGUCCUUACUUGCUUAUAUAUUAGAAGAUAUCUUUGCAUUAGAGUUCUGUACCUCCUGGCAGUUUUAUAAAUUACUCUUCAUUGCCUGCUAGCCAGAAGAAGUCACACAAGAUGGAAGAGCGAAAUCCUGGGUUACCAUUUAGUCUGAGAAUGAAGAUGGAGAACAACCUCAGUGCAGGACCUAUUAGAGGUAAUUCAUCCAGCCCUAGGGAAACACAUACAUCAGAUUUCUCUGUGGAUUUACUAUGAACCUUCAGCAGAGCCAGACAAUCCUUGGGUUAUCCAUGGAGUGCACUGGAAGAUGGAAUAUUAGUCUGAGAGAAGAAUUCUGGUCCCACUUUACUCAUGCUCUGCUGACAAAGUAUAUGUAUGGCUUUUCUCUGAUGAAUCAGCUACUCCCUAUUAUGCCAAUUUCUACCUAACAGUUGGUGGUCUGCUCUCUGCUUUGUGCUGAAACCUGUAAUUCAGGUGACUGAUGCAAGGCAAUGAGGGAUACCAAGAACAAUCUUUCCUCAUUUCUAUUUUCAGAUAAGUCAGGCCAGUAUUACUGUUAAUAAUAUUCUCAUCUGUAUUUCUUUAUACGCAUUAUCAUCAUGUACUUACGAUGGUAUUCUUGGGGAGUAAAAUAUAGUUGAGUGAAAUCGAGUGUUUCUACCAUAUUACAUUAGCAAUCCUGUUAAAGCCAAUAGGAAUAUCCACACAAGGAAGGAAUGUAGGGCUGAGCCUUAGAUUCCUGUACCAUUCUUCUUUAACCAAACCAAAAUAUUACUCUGUGUUUGGAUUAUGGUCAAUUGCAGCUGAGAGAUGAUUGUUUGUCUUUCAGAUUCCAUUCACAUGACUAUCUUUUCAUAACUGAUACAUGAUAAUUUAUACUACAUGCUCUCAGGACUAUGUCAUGUGAAAAGUAAUAUUUAGAUAGCCAAAUAGCUGACACAAAAAGUAUACGACUAUCACACACACACAUGCUUGAAAGUCCAAGAAAUCACAUCUCCCAAAUUGCUCAUAUCUUUCCCUUUCAUUGUUUAUGUUGGUUUCCUUUCAGUAAAUACAAUUGCAGAUCUUUGGCCUGUGCCACAUGUCAAAUAAGGAUAAGAACCCCCUACAUGGAAGUCAGUUGUCGAAUGGAAUUGGAGUAGAUAUUUAAAACUCAGCACCUUUCCUAUAUAAUAUGUAUCUUUAAGCUGCCAGAUUACGCAGGUGUAUGGUAACUUGCACAUAUAAAAACCCAUUUAUGAUGAUUAACAAUUUGUGUGUGGAAAAUAGAAUGUGCUUAGGACAUACGCUGUGGCUUCUACAGACUUUCCUGGAGUAACUGAGGGAAUGAAUAUUGAAUACCUGAUCUAAGGAGAGAACAAUACCACAAUGCUGAAAGUGACUAAAAAAUAAAAAAAAAAAUCAGAAAGCAAAGAAUUUCUAUACUUUUUUUUCUGUAUAAAAUUUUUCUAGAUUCUGAUUAUCUUAUUUGGUGUGUUGUCUUACUUAAUCCCUAUGUGAUGAUAGAAAAACUUCAAUUCUCACUUUUUAUUACUCUGCUGGGAAAAUUGUAAAUAGCUGGAGUUUAGAUUUGAAAGUAUCCAACUACUCCACUUCCAUCUGAAUUAAUGUAUAAUAACAUCUUUAAUUCUGUUGUUAUCAAAGGAAAUAUUUUUUGCCUGAAGGAUAUACUUCUGGGAAUAUGUUAAUUGUCCUAUGCUAUAAUAUCACUUCUGAAAGAAAUAUGUCUUUAAAUAUUACUGUUCAGUAGGACUGUUCUUAACCUUUGUCAUACUAAUAAGUACUGAAAGUCGAAGCUUUUCAAAGAUCCAAAUUGGGAAUACUUCUUUUAUCGCACUAAAAUGGGUGGAAGCUCCACACACAUACUUAUGAAAGUAUGGAAUUGUGGCCCCAAGUGUGCUUAGCAGGGAUAAUUGGAAAGGAUUAAUUUACUUCAUGUGGCUUUGAGGGAGAUGAAUAGUCUGCUAAGCUUCUAGGAAAUAGAGAUUUUGGAAUUCUUUAGUUUUGCUGCUGUAGAAUUAUGUAUGAAGUUUGCAUCCUCAAGUAGUUUUACGUAUGUGUGUCCUUAAAGGAACAAUCCAAAAGAAAAGCUCAGAUUUUCCCUAUUUGAAGCUUAUUCAUAUUGCUACCGGCUUUUUAUAUGAAAUUCUGACUAUUGAAAAUGUCUUCACUUUGUCUGUAACAUUCGUGCACUAGAACU